UACGAAGGGUGCAAGCGUUACUCGGAAUUACUGGGCGUAAAGCGUGCGUAGGUGGUUUGUUAAGUCUGUUGUGAAAGCCCCCGGGCUCAACCUGGGAAUGGCAAUGGAUACUGGCAAGCUAGAGUGCGGUAGAGGGUAGUGGAAUUCCCGGUGUAGGCGGUGAAAUGCGUAGAGAUCGGGAGGAACACCAGUGGCGAAGGCGGGCUACCUGGCC
rnacentral:rRNA from 1 species